GAUGAACGCUAGCGGGAGGCCUAACACAUGCAAGCCGAGCGGUAUUUCUUCUUCGGGAGAGAGAGAGCGGCGUACGGGUGCGGAACACGUGUGCAACCUGCCUUUAUCUAGAGGAUAGCCUUUCAAAAGGAAGAUUAAUACUCUAUAAUAUAUUAAUUGGCAUCAAUUGAUAUUGAAAACUCCGGUGGAUAGAGAUGGGCACGCGCAAGAUUUGCUAGUUGGUGAGGUAACGGCUCACCAAGGCAAUGAUCUUUAGGGGGCCUGAGAGGGUGAUCCCCCACACUGGUACUGAGACACGGACCAGACUCCUACGGGAGGCAGCAGUGAGGAAUAUUGGUCAAUGGGUGCAAGCCUGAACCAGCCAUCCCGCGUGAAGGAUUAAGGUCCUAUGGAUUGUAAACUUCUUUUGUAUAGGGAUAAACCUACCCUCGUGAGGGUAGCUGAAGGUACUAUACGAAUAAGCACCGGCUAACUCCGUGCCAGCAGCCGCGGUAAAAC
rnacentral:rRNA from 1 species